rnacentral:rRNA from 1 species
UACGUAGGGGGCUAGCGUUGUCCGGAAUCAUUGGGCGUAAAGAGCGCGUAGGCGGCCCGGUAAGUCCGCUGUAAAAGUCAAAGGCUCAACCUUUGAAUGUCAGUGGAUACUGCCGGGCUAGAGUCCGGAAGAGGCGAGUGGAAUUCCUGGUGUAGCGGUAGAAUGCGCAGAUAUCAGGAGGAACACCAACGGCGAAGGCAGCUCGCUAGGACGGUACUGACGCUGAGGCGCGAAAGCGUGGGGAGCGAACAGG